CCCCUAAAGAGCGGCUGCGCACGUGGUGUGCGUUUCGCAUUCGUUUCUUCGCGGGCACCAAAAUGGCGGAGUUUCGUCGAGGAGGGAAUGUUCCGAGUUGUCCAACACAACUUGACAGAGGUUUUGACAGCUCAAGUACUGAAGUAGAGGCCUGAGGACAAGAUUCUUGCAGUGGUGAAGAUGCACAGUACCCCUGGUUUGCAAGAAAUGACAGAACUGACGGGGGUAGAGGACUACAGGACCGUUAAUGGAAGCAAGUACCGAAUGAAACAAGACACAAGCAAGCAAGCAAGUGAAGCAAGCACGUGGUCAGCGAGAUGUGUUCACUAAGGUAGGACUGACCCUUUGUUUCAGCCGUUAGCGCUCAAAUUGAGCCAGUGAACACCCAAGACCCAGGAACUCAAGACCCAAGUACAGUUUGCAAGUGGAGUCGUUCGUUGGAUUAUACAGAUUUUGUAUAUUGAUUAAGGUUCCCCUCGGUUUACACCUUGAAUGCUGGAAGUGCAGGCUGCAGGAAUUUGAAGAAGAAGCAACUACCACCGAAGAUAACUCAUUCAUCUUAGACAUGUUUUAUCAAUGGACAGUCGUCACGCCAGACAGGCAGGGCACAGGACUGCAUGUUAGCUCUGAGGUAACUGAUGACGUUGAUAGAAUUUGAAGGUUCUACCGUAGGAUGUUUACUAUGGAACACACACUGGAUGCAGAGAACACUGAUGUAUCACCAUGACAACGCCAAACCAGGACCCUCCAGUUUAAAACAGUAGUGUAAAAUAUGAACAGGAAACUUCGCAACAAAAUGUUGCAAAAUUCUUGUAAGUUGACAUUUCAACAUGGCAUGGCUUGGAACUUGUUUGAUCCCACUUAAAAUGGAAAGCUUUUUGUGAUUUUACCGUGAUAGCGAUUUCUCUUCAUGCAGACAAUUUGAAGAAUUCUACUCUUAUUGAUGUAAUGUUGGGAUAUUUCUUAUUCUAAUAUAAAAGUACUUCUGAUGCUGCCUAGUAUUUCCUUUUGGUAUUCUACCUUUCUAUUUCUAAACAUUCAGUUCUAACUUUUAAGGAUUUUUUUUUCACUGAUUAUUCAUCUCAGUCUUAAUACUCUGUAGUGUUUUGGGUUAGAGAAAGUAUAUAUUCUCAUUAUUGUCAGUCAACUCGUCACUUUUGUUGAAAUAUGAUGCAACAAUUUUUUUGUCUGCCAUUAAACCUUUUGUAAAAAUAUUUGGUGAAAUACUUGUCGAGCUUUGUUUUUUUUUUAGUGAUUUUAGCUUUUGUUUUUCAAUAAAGCUUAAAUAAGUCUGUGUUUGAACUGAAAAUAAAUGUCUCAUUUUGUCAGUU
rnacentral:lncRNA from 1 species